rnacentral:rRNA from 1 species
GAGUUUGAUCCUGGCUCAGAUUGAACGCUGGCGGCAGGCCUAACACAUGCAAGUCGAACGGUAACAGGAAGAAGCUUGCUUCUUUGCUGACGAGUGGCGGACGGGUGAGUAAUGUCUGGGAAACUGCCUGAUGGAGGGGGAUAACUACUGGAAACGGUAGCUAAUACCGCAUAACGUCGCAAGACCAAAGAGGGGGACCUUCGGGCCUCUUGCCAUCGGAUGUGCCCAGAUGGGAUUAGCUAGUAGGUGGGGUAACGGCUCACCUAGGCGACGAUCCCUAGCUGGUCUGAGAGGAUGACCAGCCACACUGGAACUGAGACACGGUCCAGACUCCUACGGGAGGCAGCAGUGGGGAAUAUUGCACAAUGGGCGCAAGCCUGAUGCAGCCAUGCCGCGUGUAUGAAGAAGGCCUUCGGGUUGUAAAGUACUUUCAGCGGGGAGGAAGGGAGUAAAGUUAAUACCUUUGCUCAUUGACGUUACCCGCAGAA